CAAAAGAUCUAAAUUUUACGUAAUGGAUCCCGUCCCGAUCGUCCCCUCACACGUGGCACUGCCGCGUAAACAAUGCCACAUCGUAGAGAAAGCAUAAGGGGGAGGCCAUCGGGAGAUUAUCCCGAGAAUUCAAACUAUUCUUGUAAUGUCGUACGAGCCUCGUUCCGUUCGCUCUUUCAUGCGCAGCAUUACCGGUGUAAAUGUAAUAAUGCCGCACAGUGAACAAGCAAAAGGGGAAGAGAGUCUCCGGAUAGCCGUUACAAUCCAGUAACGACUUAACGCAGAUUACUCCUGCAUAAGCGUCUCUGCGAUGAGGGGAGAAGAAACAUGGGGCAUAGACGAUGUGCUGCUGAGAGUCACAAUGCGGAUCAUCAGGGUCUCCCGUCACCUGGAAACCACCAGACCGUAGACUGAGUAUCCGAGGGAAACUGAAUAUAAAUCUGGCCCGAAUACAAGGAAUCCUGUUCGGGAUCCUCGAUGUUUCAAUACCACCACAAACAGUAGACGACCACGAUACACACGAUGAGGCUGAAAAAUAUACAUACAUUCAAAAUAAUUAGAAAAACAAAGACAAUGAACGUCCCCGCUACACGUCCGCGUUCGUCUCGGCGACCGCCGUACUUCCGCAAUCGUUUACAGAAGCGUCAUAUCCGUUCUAUUUCCGCAAACAAAGACUUUGAGACAGGAUUUCCGUGUUGUCGUGUCCGGUCAUACAUUCUAUGUAAACAAGGAAGUUAUCCCCUUUGCUUCCGUAUUAUCGAUAAUCGGCUCCGAUCCCGAUUCCGCGGACCAAGCAUUGGCUGCAAACUAUAUCGGAAUGCGCCAGACCUUCUUUGCGCGUCUCCAGACACUUCUGCGAUCGCAGACGAAGAAGCCUGACGUAGGCGGACGGCAAACUUUCGCCAUGUGUACUGCUUGUAUGCUACAACGGCCAAUCGUGUUCCACAUGCAUGCGACUGCAUGUUUAGGUCUCACCCCUCUCGAACCCUACAACAUCUCCGCUCCAUGUGAUCCGAAGGGAGAUCGAAGAUCGUAGACUCUCUACAUACACCGGCCUCAAUAUACCACGACCGACAGAGAAAGUUGGGGAAGGUUGUCGCAGUAUCCGUUUCGAGAUGGAAAGUGGGUCCGCAGUCAAUGCAUCCGGGGUCUGCAACGAUAUCACAGCUGUAAUCAACACGGAUGUAUUUAUCAUGUACAAAGACGGAAGCGCGGGGACGUUGAUGGAGGAGUUGCAAACCUGACGUCACAAAACAGCUACGCAGCAAAAGCAGGUAAAGUAUAACCAUAAUCGUGCAACAACGCCCAAAUAGUUUAAAUGGUGCAAUUCGUCAAUAAAUGAAAGUUUCAUGUCGUGUAU
rnacentral:lncRNA from 1 species